rnacentral:tRNA from 1 species
GUCGGGAUAGCUUAGCUGUA